UACGUAGGUGACAAGCGUUGUCCGGAUUUACUGGGCGUAAAGAGCGCGCAGGCGGUCGAUCAAGUCGAGUGUGAAAGCCCCCGGCUCAACUGGGGAGGGUCAUUCGAUACUGAUCGACUCGAAGGCAGGAGAGGGUAGUGGAAUUCCCGGUGUAGUGGUGAAAUGCGUAGAUAUCGGGAGGAACACCAGAGGUGAAGACGGGUUGCUGGGCCGACACUGGCGCUGACAGCGCGAAAGCCAGGGGAGCAAACGGG
rnacentral:rRNA from 1 species